CUGAACAGUAAUACAUGCUGUUACCUCUUGUUCUUACUGGAAGGGUAUGGACUAUCAUCAUUGUUUCUUCAACAGUUCUAAAGAUAACUAAGUGAAUAGGUUUUGAAAAUUUCAGGUUUCAAGGUGUCCAGUAAGGCAACGACAUACGAAUUAUCCUGUGUGGACAAAGAAUUCUUCUAGGCAAGAAAGAGAGACAAAGACGAAGAUGAUGUUAUAGACUAGAACUGUGUUUUAGAAAAAGAGAAAAAGAAGUGUUUUCAUUUCGCUGUAAUUUGACCUCACGCAUUCUGUCUUUGGUAUGUGUGGAACUGCACCAUCUAUGAAUUCUAUUUACCUGGCACUAAGAUAAGCACUUUGCACGAAUUCUUUUCUUAUUUUUCACAGAUGUUAUUAGGUCGAUAGUAGUAUUGCCACAAUAUUAAAGAUACAGAAUUGAGACUCA